rnacentral:rRNA from 1 species
GACGAACGCUGGCGGCGUGCUUAACACAUGCCAGUCGAGCGAGGCCCCUCCUUCGGGAGGGUGUCCUAGCGGCGAACGGGUGAGUAACACGUGGGCAACCUGCCCUCAGCUCUGGGAUAACUCCGGGAAACCGGGGCUAAUACCGGAUACGACCUCCACGGGCAUCUGCGGAGGUGGAAAGUUUUUCGGCUGAGGAUGGGCCCGCGGCCUAUCAGCUAGUUGGUGGGGUAGUGGCCCACCAAGGCGACGACGGGUAGCCGGCCUGAGAGGGUGACCGGCCACACUGGGACUGAGACACGGCCCAGACUCCUACGGGAGGCAGCAGUGGGGAAUAUUGCGCAAUGGGCGAAAGCCUGACGCAGCGACGCCGCGUGAGGGACGAAGGCCUUCGGGUUGUAAACCUCUUUCAGCAGGGACGAAGCGAAAGUGACGGUACCUGCAGAAGAAGCACCGGCCAACUACGUG